rnacentral:tRNA from 1 species
GCGGGGAUGGCUCAGUUGGGAGAGCGUCAGACUGAAGUACACUUCGGUAUCACCAACAUCUGAAGGUCCGCGGUUCGAUCCCGCGUCACCGCA